GCGUUGGUGGGUACAGUGGUGAGCAUAGCUGCCUUCCAAGCAGUUGACCCGGGUUCGAUUCCCGGCCAACGCA